GAUGAACGCUGGCGGCGUGCCUAACACAUGCAAGUCGAACGGAGUCCAGCCUUUAAGACCUUCGGGUCAAAGAGGGGAAGACUGAGUGGCGGAAGGGUGAGUAACACGUGGGCAACCUGGCUCAUAGAGGGGGAUAACAGAGAGAAAUUUCUGCUAAUACCGCAUAGGCACACACUGCCGCAUGGUAGAGGGUGAAAAGAGAAUCGCUCUGAGAUGGACUCGCGUCUGAUUAGCCAGUUGGCAGGGUAAGAGCCUACCAAAGCGCCGAUCAGUAGCCGAGCUGAGAGGAUGAACGGCCACAUUGGGGCUGAGACACGGCCCAAACUCCUACGGGAGGCAGCAGUGGGGGAUAUUGCACAAUGGGGGGAACCCUGAUGCAGCGACGCCGCGUGAGUGAAGAAGUAUUUCGGUAUGUAAAGCUCUAUAAGCAGGGAAGAUAAUGACAGUACCUGAAUAAGAAGCCCCGGCUAACUACGUG
rnacentral:rRNA from 1 species